CCCCGCCACCCCCAUCCAUGCAAACUGGGGCCAGGACCCAGACUGUGGGGGGCCCUGAUCUCUCCCACUCCCGCCGGGGGCCCCCCGG
rnacentral:lncRNA from 1 species